AUUUUACUCGCUGGAAGUUGGAGAGGAAGAAGGUGCAAAGACGCCGGUUUCCCCCGCUUGCACUAAACCCCACGAACUCACCACCACUCGACACUGGCAUUUAUACAGAGGUGGAAAUAAGUAACCCAGUGAAAAAAAUACUCCAUUACAACGAAAGGUUCUGCAAUCUAUCAGUACCUUUUUUUGAUCCUUUGGCGGGUUUGUGUGGGGACUGGCUCCUCUUCUCACUCAUCCAAACUCAUGGACAGAAACCACCAGUACCUCACUUUCAAACGAGCACAGUAGGCCAAUUCAGAAGAAAUUCCAUUCCGGCGAGAACAAGGAAAGUUUGAAAAAUCCAGAGCGGUCGUCUGUCCUGCUCAACAGUCGCAGACACAGGACCUUGCAUCAUCUGAGCUGGAGUUAUUCAACGAUGUAUAAUGCAACAAGGUUAAGAAAGCUAAGAGGUAAACAACGGUGACCCUGGAACUAGAAGGGAUUCACUGCCUUGCUUUAGGGCACUUUGGCAGAGCAGAUUUUUUCUGGCGACUUUGUCCAGUCAGAAGAAAGUCUCACACCAUCAAAGUUUAAACAAGAUGAGAUUAAUAAUUUACUUCAAAUAUAAAGCAAAUGUAUAAACUUGCUCCUUCCAAGCAGGAUUGUGAUUAUAGAUUAUUCUAAUUAUCGAAUAAUAAAAAAUGAUAAUAAAAAAAGUGAAAAAUGUCGUCAUGUCUUACAGUUUUGCAAACUAAGACAAUGAAGUGCAACUUCAUGUUGCUUGAAAACAUUAAGAGUAAAUUAUAACUGUCAGUUCAUUUAAUAUCAUCGAAUUGUUUUAGCUCUAAUUCAAAAGGUAUUUCACACAUUCCAGCUGAGAUUUUAACUAUGUAAGGACUAAAUUUAAAACGUGCCAAACUAUCUUUAUACAUAUAUCUUCAAUUGUAUUUU